rnacentral:lncRNA from 1 species
AAAAAAAAAAAAAAAACAACUCCAAAGGAAGUAUAAGAGUAAAACAUAGUUUUUAAAUAGUAAUCAGCCUGGAAGAAGCUAAAGACACAAAUGACCCGGGAGACUGAGUUCAGAAGACUGAGUCAAGGAAAAGAUCGACCCUCAUAGGUAUUUAUGUCAGCAAAACAAUGACUCUCCCUUACAGAAAACAAGACUUCACAUCAAAGAGAAGAAGACAUCUGUGACAAGUGGAAGUUCACUGAUGACAGAGAGUGGCAGAGUAGCCACAUCUUGUCUCCACCUGGGGAGUAAUGUGGAGGGUUCCAGAGUGUCCCCCUCCGUGCAGUGCAGUGACUGCUCCGUGAUGCCCUCUGCUUCAGGCUGUCCGUGCUCUGGAUGCCCCGAGCACGAGGACUGGCUGCUGCCUUUGCCCCGCUGGGGACGGCAGCGCAGAGCUCAGACACAGGCGGCUGCUCAGGGGUCCACGGAACACCCCAAGGACGCCGCAACACGCGCCUGUCGCUGGCCCUCUCCUGGACUCUGACGGCCUGCACGGGUCACACGCAGGGAGGGGCGUUGCCAGGAGACCUCAACGUGCUUCCGAUCAUGCGCAGAUCAGGAGAGCUGAGAAGAAAAGACAGUCCAUCUGCAGACCCACUGCGUGAACUUGACCAGGUCAGAGGCGGCCACCAGAUACUAAUUGCAACAGAACAUGAUGCACCUCAUGAGAAAAACAGUGAGUGCGCUGAAUGAAAUUGAAACAUGGAGCCAGGAGGACAGUGUCCCCCUGGCUUCUUGGGACGUGCCCUGGGUUGCCAGAAGGUCAUCUGGAGACAGGACAUCUGGAGGCAGGAAAGACCAAAGACCCUGGGACCCCACUGGGCUACAAUGGGAAUGGAUGCCUGGGGGGGUAACCCUGGUGGUUCCUCCCAAAGGUCUUCUGACGUGUCUGGGUUUAAGAGCCAACAAUCGAUGAGAAAUUGAGAAAGUGAAUGAGUUGUAACCUGAGGGUGCUCUAAAACCACUAUUUGGGGAGUCUGUUACAGUUUUUCCACAUUUAUGUAUUGAGUGCAUAUUAGUCAGGCACUGUGCUAGGCAAGGGAUACAAUAGAGUGCAGGAGAGAGACACAAAUAUACAUAUAUAUUAUUUAUAUAUGUCAUAUGUUAUAUAUAAAUAAUAUAUAAAUAC